rnacentral:rRNA from 1 species
AACGAACGCUGGCGGCAUGCCUAACACAUGCAAGUCGAACGAGACCUUCGGGUCUAGUGGCGCACGGGUGCGUAACGCGUGGGAAUCUGCCCUUGGGUUCGGAAUAACAGUUAGAAAUGACUGCUAAUACCGAAUGAUGUCUUCGGACCAAAGAUUUAUCGCCCAGGGAUGAGCCCGCGUCGGAUUAGCUAGUUGGUAGGGUAAAGGCCUACCAAGGCGACGAUCCGUAGCUGGUCUGAGAGGAUGAUCAGCCACACUAGGACUGGGACACGGCCCAGACUCCUACGGGAGGCAGCAGUGGGGAAUAUUGGACAAUGGGCGAAAGCCUGAUUCAGCAAUGCCGCGUGAGUGAUGAAGGCCUUAGGGUUGUAAAGCUCUUUUACCCGGGAUGAUAAUGACAGUACCGGGAGAAUAAGCCCCGGCUAACUCCGUGCCAGCAGCCGCAGUAAUAC